rnacentral:ncRNA from 1 species
GGCACGCUAGCUGCUAGGAGCAGGUCGAGGCAGGCCAACGGCGGUCUGCAAAUCACGACAAAGGCGUCGC